rnacentral:tRNA from 1 species
UCCAGGGUAGCCUAGUGGACAUGGCAUCUGCCCAGUAAGCGGAACACUGUGGGUUCGAUCCCCAUCCCUGGAC